CUCAAUGGCCUUUCAUAUCCCAAAUCAUUUCACUCACACAUUCGUUUUCCUUCCUCUAGAAUUCAAGGAUUCACCCAAUUAGUUCUCCUAUACACAAAUCUACAAGAAACUGCUAUAGAUGGAAGACAACCAGAGUUUCAGCCAUCUCAGAAAACUUGGUCCAAGGGAAUCGCUGCAGCAUCAAAAAGAGUCUGACAGAAGAUGACAGCUGAAAAUGUUAGAAGAUGACACAAGCAGACAAAAAACAUAAGGAGAAGUUACCUGCCACCAUAGAGGAGAAACCCCAGGGCUGCAAACAAAGAGACACCUGCCAGAAUACAUGGACCAGGACCCAUAAAUCAAUAUCAGGAUUAACUAAGCUUUACAAAAAAUGUAUUUAGCGUAUAGUAGAGAUAAACCUGCAAAGAACAUCUUAGAUAGAAUGACCACAAUUGGUAAAGGCUUCCACCACAUAAUCAACCACAUAGCAAUCUGGAUCCACAUAAAACUUCAGUACAUAACAGAGUAAAUUUGCAGAUCAUAAUAUCCUCGCUUGUAACAUAAAAUCUUAUAUAAAUCUUUUAGCUUGCAUUUACCAUAAACAUAAUUCUAUAGUCAACAAGCAUGCAACAUUAUGGAUCAAGUAACAAGUAUAUGAUAUUGCCAGGAUCACAAGCAGAACAGGAGUGUGCAUAAUGAUCCCACCAACAAAACUUAGACAGCAAUUAGGAUGGGUAUCAAAGAGUGCAGGGAGAAUAGGAAGCAUAGUUUCAGAACUGAGAACUAGCACAGGGAGAGUGGGAGACUAUCAGAUGUACAUUACAGACGUGCAUAUCACACACACACCAUUGUUACUAUGACAUACACUAAACGAACUGGAUAAUAAUUGCACAAUACCGUAUAAAAUAUUUUGUAUAAAGCAAGAAAAGUUUAAGAUAUAGAGGGAAAGCAUUGUGAUAUCUCCAACACAAAGAAAGUAGACAAUCAUUCAACAUAAAACCUGCAGAAGCUAACUCUCAUAAGUCAUAGCAUGAACCUCUGAGUGAAUGGUCAAUGAAGAACUAAAAUAUGAAAGGAGCAUUAAAAAAGCAGCUCAGCAUCAAGUGAUGUCAACCAUGAAUUUUUUAAUAUCAUAGGUGACUUGCAAACCUUCUCUC